rnacentral:lncRNA from 1 species
GGGACCUGAAUGGGUGGCUGCGGAUUCCACUUGACAGAAGAAAUUUUAUACAGCAGAAUCAUGAGAAACUAUGACCUUUGGAGCUGGCCCCUGCCCUGUGGUCUCAGUCCAGGAUCCAGCACUCCCAGUGUCUCCAUCUGGGGCUGACAAUGGCACUCAAGCUCUUGGACCCUUGAUUUAGUGCUGUCCCCAGGUCCUUUGCUUUGCUGUACAAAUGUAUAGGUGUGUGUGUGGGGGGGCAAUGCAAGUGGUUUAACUUCCUACUGACGUCUUUAGAAUAAAUAAUUACUCUCCUUAUAAACAUUCUUUUAAAAGAAGGUUUUUGAGGUCAAUUAUUAAGUUCUUCAACUCUGUUCUCUUCUAAGACAAAGAACACCAAUUAAAAUCAUAGAAAUGAUUCAAGAGUGUUAUCUAAAGUUGGUAAGUUAUUCAAGCUAUGAUGAUAGCAUUUAAAAAAUACUUUAAAUAAGAAGUUGUAUACCUGUAACCUCAGCACUUUGGGAGACUGAGGGAGGAGGUUUGCAAAUUCAAGACUAGCCUGGGCAACUUGGCAAUUUAGUGAGACCCUGUCACAAAAUAAAACCAGAACAAGAAAAA